GCGUUCGAGUCUCAGACAGACAGUGCCAAGGAAUUGCACACACAGUAAGGCAGGGUCAGCAACAGAGAGCGCCUGUGCGGGUGUUUUGUCCUACCCGUAUUUAAAAGUAAUUGUUCCGGUUACAAUGGGGUAAAGGGACGUGAGGGCAAAAUGUGAUUUGUUUUGCAGCCUUCAAAUAUAGUAUUGGUUCAAGGAAUUAAAUACGAGCGCUGUCAUAAAACAUCCUUGGAACCCAGAUGGACAGUAGAGAAAGAAUACACAUAUUUAAACAGGAAGCUGAACUGUCACGUUGAAUAAAGUCUGCUUUUAUUUUGCUGCCAACACACUAGAGGGUAAUAUAAUAUAAAGACACUUUGGCCGACCCAGACUACAUUACAUGUCUCUGGCAGGGAGCAAAAACUGAAGAACAGCUCUUGAAUUCAGGUGAAAGCAUCUAUUAAUGAUUUACACCCUGCUAGGCCAAGAAGUUGAUGUAAAAUUGA